rnacentral:rRNA from 1 species
UACGUAGGGUGCAAGCGUUGUCCGGAAUUAUUGGGCGUAAAGAGCUCGUAGGCGGUUUGUCGCUUCUGCUGUGAAAACCCGGGGCUCAACCCCGGACCUGCAUUCGAUACGGGCAGACUAGAGUUCGGUAGGGGAGUCUGGAAUUCCUGGUGUAGCGGUGAAAUGCGCAGAUAUCGGGAGGAACACCGGUGGCGAAGGCGGUUCUCUGGGCCUUAACUGACGCUGAGGCACGAAAGCGUGGGGAUCAAACAGG